AAAGAAGCCAGACGUGCUCUUCAUCAGCAUGACAUUAUGUUGCAACUGGAUCGCAUGCGUCAUCAAUGCUCCACCAGCUAAGCGCGACCCUGGCAGCGCCGCCAAAUGAGCACCGAUGCACGCCACCAGACACCGCCGGACGCACAGCAAGACGGUGGCGUGGACUGCAGCGGAAUUUGCUUAUACGACGGGUUUAACCGUCAUGAAGAGCCACGACAUCCGAAAAGAAAUAAUAAAGG